rnacentral:SRP_RNA from 1 species
GCCGGGCGUGGUGGUGCGUGCCUGUGGUCCCAGCUACUCGGGAGGCUGAGGUGGGUGGAUCGCUUGAGCCCAGGAGUUCUGGGCUGCAGUUCGCUACAUCGAUCGGGUGUCCGCACUAAGUUCGGCAUCAAUAUGGUGACCUCCGGCGAGCGGGAGACCACCAGGUUGCCUAAGGAGGGGUGAACCGGCCCAGGUCAGAAACGGAGCAGGUCAAAACUCCCGUGCUGAUCAGUAGUGGGAUCGUGCCUGUGAACAGUCACUGCACUCCAGCCUGGGCAGCAUAGCGAGACCCCGUCUCU